CAGUCGCCGCGGUAAUACGUAGGGUGCGAGCGUUAAUCGGAAUUACUGGGCGUAAAGCGUGCGCAGGCGGUUGUGUAAGACAGGUGUGAAAUCCCCGGGCUUAACCUGGGAACUGCGCUUGUGACUGCACAGCUAGAGUAUGGCAGAGGGGGGUGGAAUUCCACGUGUAGCAGUGAAAUGCGUAGAGAUGUGGAGGAACACCGAUGGCGAAGGCAGCCCCCUGGGCCAAUACUGACGCUCAUGCACGAAAGCGUGGGGAGCAAACAGGAUUAGAGACCCGUGUAGUCCCUGUCUCUUAUAC
rnacentral:rRNA from 1 species